rnacentral:rRNA from 1 species
UACGUAGGGUGCAAGCGUUGUCCGGAAUUAUUGGGCGUAAAGAGCUUGUAGGCGGUUUGUCGCGUCUGCUGUGAAAUUUCGGGGCUCAACCCCGAACUUGCAGUGGGUACGGGCAGACUAGAGUGUGGUAGGGGAGACUGGAAUUCCUGGUGUAGCGGUGAAAUGCGCAGAUAUCAGGAGGAACACCAAUGGCGAAGGCAGAUCUCUGGGCCGUAACUGACGCUGAGGAGCGAAAGCAUGGGGAGCGAACAGG